UACGGGGGGUGCAAGCGUUAUUCGGAAUCAUUGGGCGUAAAGGGCGCGUAGGCGGUCGCUUAAGUCAGAUGUGAAAGCCCUCGGCUUAACCGAGGAAGUGCAUUUGAUACUAAGUGACUUGAGUAUGGGAGAGGGAAGCGGAAUUCCUGGUGUAGCGGUGAAAUGCGUAGAUAUCAGGAGGAACACCGGUGGCGAAGGCGGCUUCCUGGACCAAUACUGACGCUGAGGCGCGAAGGCGUGGGGAGCAAACAGG
rnacentral:rRNA from 1 species